UACGUAGGGUGCGAGCGUUUGUCCGGAAUUACUGGGCGUAAAGAGCUCGUAGGUGGUUUGUCGCGUUGUUCGUGAAAACUCACAGCUCAACUGUGGGCGUGCGGGCGAUACGGGCAGACGUAGAGUACUGCAGGGGAGACUGGGAAUUCCUGGUGUAGCGGUGGAAUGCGCAGAUAUCAGGAGGAACACCGGUGGCGAAGGCGGGUCUCUGGGCAGUAACUGACGCUGGAGGAGCGAAAGCGUGGGGAGCGAACAGG
rnacentral:rRNA from 1 species